CAAGGUUCAGUUACACAAGAAUAAUUAAUUGAUUUAUUAUUUCAUUUCCUGUUGUUCCAGCCUCACCAGGUGUGAAGAGGAAGACACCUGUGCCCAUUCCACCAGAGCUGACUUUUUUAGUAAAGGAGACAGCAGCUCCCAUAAAAGCAGGGGGAUCUAAGUCAACUCCAGGAGCCAGCACAAGUGCUUCUUGCACAUCUGCACGAAAGGCGAUUACUUUUGAGGACAGCGGUGAAGAUGUUCCCUUAGCUCAACCACCUGUUCCUGUUCCCCUGCCUGGCCCUGAUCGGGACAUAAGCAGUUGGAGCUGUUCUCAACACCAGAAGAUCUGGAUGAGGACAGAGCUUCAGGAUCUUGGGCUGUGGCCUGGGUCUAACCCAGUGCGGAACCCAGGGAACACAAUUUCUCUGUGGCGUCUUCCUCCACAACCUGAGCUCAUUGACAUGGUGGCUGAGCUCCCAUCCCCAAACUUCUUCCAGCUACAUCCAUUUUUUAUCUGGAAGCCCGAGAGUGACAUCAUGGUCAGGCUGAGAAACAAUUACAUCCUGCCAUGUCUCCGUGGCUGUUCUCAUCCGCAGGUGGUCUCUGCUGGUGUGGGCAGGCCUCGGGUGAUUGUUGGCACCAGCGGUCAAUAUUAUAUAUUGUCCUCACGACUCUGCUGCAAAGCAUGUCGAAGGAACUGGUUUGCUGACAAUCCACGAUGGCUGGAGAAGCUGCCAAAGCGGUUUACCAACAUUCUGCCCACUUUCCUGACUUACAAAAAGGCCAUCUGCAAGUCUUUGAUGGAUGAGUUGAGGCGCACUGGCAAGUCACCAACAGAUAUGGCAAACCAGGUGAAUGAGCUCAUGCACCUUAAGUAUGAGCGAGCUCACCUGGCAUACCUACAUGCCAUAGAAAACAUCUGGGAUGCUGAGGCCGGCAUAUAUGGACAGAGGACCAUCGGGCAGUUCAUGAGGAAAGAAAACAAGCCACGUGCAUUUGGACCAUAUGAAGAUUCAGAUGGCUGGUGUGGGGUCUCUGUCUCCGGUUUCUACCUUACUGACUGCCUACUAGACGAGUUCAGACGUCAAGAGCCAGCCAUGUCCAAACUCCUCCAGGGCACCUUUGGGCAGGUAUUCAGGUCUGACCACACCAGGAAGGUAGCACGUAAGGUUACACUAGCAUCUGGGGUCAUGUCCAGUUAUGCCAUCAUGAAUGAGAACUGGCUGAUUGUUUCUUGGGUGAUGGUUCAGUCUGAGACUGAGAAGUCCUUGGAGCCAAUGUAUCAAGGAUUGGCCAGGAGAUACAGCAAUGCGGGUGUGGAAAAGGCAGGCUACCACUGGAUGGACAGAGACUGCUGUGCUCCAUUUAAAAUCCCGGAAUGCGCCUCUGGUGAGCAUCUAUAUUGGGAUGCCUGGAAGACAACCCCUUCCAUUGUUGCUCAGGCCACCUCUGGCCCACUUGCGAACACCUGCGCCUCCCGGUCACAUUACAAUGCCAACAUCGUUGUGAAACUGGACUUGUUCCACUGCAUCAGGCGUUUUUCACGGGAGUGUACAUCUGAGCAUCAUCCUCUGUUCAGCAAUUUCUGCCAGCUUCUCUCUGCAGCCUUCUCUGUGGUGGAUCAGGAGGACUUACAGAGGCUCAGGGACGCCUAUGUGUUCUGUGGUAUCCAUCCAGCCAAUCCCACCAAGCAACAUAUAAGGGAGCACUGCAGGACCAAAAUACCACAACCGACAGAGCUGCUGGACAGAAUUGAGAAUGUCCUUAAGCAUUUUCAUGUGGCCACAGACCCCAACAAUGUCCCACUCUUCAAGCCACACAUGCUGAAGACAUGGCGCAUACAGAGAGUGCACAUUCUUCGUGGUUGCCUCAGUGACCCUGAACUUUCAGAGGGCAUAAUGUACAGGUACGGUGGAACUCUUCAACUAAACCAUGUACCCGGUGAAGGCGCCAAAGUCCCCAUCUGGAUCCCUGUCCGAGGUACAUCACAACAGGAGGGGUACCAUUUCCACCAGGCCCAGUGGGUCACAGGGACCCAUGUCUCCACUGAAUUGUUCCAGGCCCAGGGCAUGACAGGGGUGGCACGGUGGAACUAUCAACGACUGGUGGACCUAAAGCAGCCAGAUGUUAUCCUCCCUGCUGUCUUUGAUCCAGCUUUAAUGGCUGAGUUGAACUCUGCUUCCAAGAGAGUGACAGGGCAGGAGAAGUAUGCAUUAUUUCACAUCUCUGACACAGACACCGGAGAGACGUUUGGUCUAGAAUACAAAGAGCCAGGCUGCCGUCCGGUCCCUCUUGACUGGGACAAACACAGGACCCAAAAGAGAGACGAAACAUCUGCUCUUGUCCCACUAUCUCCUGUGCAGGCACCCACUUCUGCCCAGGCCCAAGCUCCAGACUCGGCACCCUCCUCCAAAUUGACGCCACUCUCUAGCUUGGCAUCUUCUGGCCCAACAUCAUCCCUCAGCCAUUCACUCUCCGCUGGGACACUUUUAAAGCAGGAAAUACUUUCAGAAGACAACCAGGACCCUCCAGAAGCAAUGGAAAUCUCACAUGCCCUGCCCCUGCUGCAGAAGUCCUCUCCGAGAAGUGCCCGCACCGGACCCAUAAAGACAGGUGGACGGGUUUUUGUGUUGGACCACACACGCUGGACACCACCCAUGAAAGAUGCUAUCGACCACUUACUGCACAAGUUCCGUGGUGAGAAGGACAUGCUAAAGCUGGUAGAUCAAGAAUAUGCACACAUGGUCCAUCAAUCUGCCUCAGAUCCCAACAGCUUGCUGCACCCCACAACCAAACUACACAUAUCCCGCUAUGUGAAGCACCUGGCAAAACUUCUUAACACCAGUUCUUCUCUGAACACAAGCCAGGAAAAACUUCAGGAGACUCAGCAGCUGUGGCACUCCUUAACAAAAGGAAGUGAGACAGCCAGUGUUCCUGUGGUCACCAUGGAGCCUGCUAUUGUCAACCCACCUGCACCUGCCAUGGUGACACCUCUGACACAGGAGUCCAUUGAGAAAAUUGUGGAGGACAUCUUGCAAAGGCAGCAGCAGCAACAAAAGCAACAGCCCCAGCCAGAGCAGAAGAAAAGGCAGACAAAGACCUGUCUUGCAUGUGGACAGCCCAAGUCUCGAUAUGAGACAGAUGGAUCCUCCAUCCACUUUUUUUAUCAACAAGGGCCUGUGCGCUAUUUCUAUUGCUCAAAGAGGGUGCAUCAAAGUUACGCUGCUGAGGGACUUUCUGACCCCAAAAUGCCAUUUGAACAAUUUGCAGACACAGAAUUUUUUCAGAGGGAGCUGGAGGGCACCAAGAAACGGGUGGAGGAAAAAAAGGAGAAAAAGAGGAAAAGGCCAGAUUCCCAACCAACAGGCCGCUGCUGCAGAUUCUGCCACAAGGACCUGAAACAGGGACCAAACAGCCCACACAUACACACGGGCUUCCCUGGAGUGGCAGGAAAAUACAUUUACUGCCCAGCUAAAGUGUACUCUUUAUACAAAGAUAAGGGCAUGAUUAAAGAGAUGACCUGGAUGGAGUUUAAAGAGUCCCCAUUCUAUGAAGCAGAGAGAAAAAGAUGGGUGGAGGAAAGGAAGACCUGAUUCGUAUAUAUUUGUACAUACUUCAAAUGAUUAAUCCAAUUGUUGUUCUGUAUAUAUAUAUAUAUGUGUUUCUGAUUUCUGAAUGUGCUAUAUAUGUAUAGGUUUUAUUUUUUUUUUGUAGUUUCCAAAGUUUAUAUUAUUUUGUCAUACACAUGUGCGCUUAUGUUUAGUCCUUUAGACCACAGCAAUGUGUGUGUGUAUAUGGAUAUUGGUAUGUAUAACUUUAUAGUUUGUGUGUAUAUUGUUUUCCUUAAAGUUCUUUUUUUAAACAGAUUUUACCUUG
rnacentral:lncRNA from 1 species